AUGGUCUAAAAAGGUGCUUAAUUCCAGUAAGAAAAAAAAAUGCAAAUAAUAAGACCAGAGGAUCCUUUAAGGACUAGAGUGCCUGAUGCAAGCAUUAUCAGGCACUGCCUAUUCACAUCUAGUCUUUCCUCUGCACAUAAGAAGUCAGUGACAAUGAACGAACGCAAACAUGUAAGACAGGAAAUUGAACUUCACCCUUCCAAUUCAGAAAAAUUUCAGUGGUUGACCUUUCUUUUAUACCUUCCCUGAGCUGUGGGUUCCAGUGAAAUGCUUAACUACAACAAGUUAAACAGUGGCACUUGUUGUUCCAAACAAGUCCUGGAUGAGGAUUUCCAACACAUGGGUUUAGGAACGAGCCAGGACUGUGAUAGAAGGAUGGCUGCAGGUGUGGUGUUCAGGUUCUUCUUGGCCCUGCCCCCGGGACUGGGCAAUACUGCUUGCAGGAAGCCACAGACUUAAAACCCGCAGGGGACAUUCUUUAGAGACUGAGCCACACUGUCUGCUUGCUCCUUGUUGAGGUUAGCGCACAUAGCACUGGUUAUUUGCAAAGAUAACUUUUAAUAUCUCAGACUUGAUUAUUUCAUUAAAUUAAGUGAACUUUACCCAAAUAAAUAGGAUAGGUGAAAAGAUGAAAAAAAUCUGAACACAUGCUAAAUGUACUAGUGCCUGUAUUUCAGUAGGAUCUUGUAAUUUGAACUAUUUUUAAUAAUAAGAGGCACACGUGCAAUGGAAAGCAUUUUUCUGUUCCACUUCCAACAUUCCACAUUGUUAGGUUGGUUUUUUUU